CGAGUCUUAAUUGGGCGUUAAGUUGCAGGGUAUAGACCCGAAACCCGGUGAUCUAGCCAUGGGCAGGUUGAAGGUUGGGUAACACUAACUGGAGGACCGAACCGACUAAUGUUGAAAAAUUAGCGGAUGACCUGUGGCUGGGGGUGAAAGGCCAAUCAAACCGGGAGAUAGCUGGUUCUCCCCGAAAGCUAUUUAGGUAGCGCCUCGUGAAUUCAUCUCCGGGGGUAGAGCACUGUUUCGGCUAGGGGGCCAUCCCGGCUUACCAACCCGAUGCAAACUGCGAAUACCGGAGAAUGUUAUCACGGGAGACACACGGCGGGUGCUAACGUCCGUCGUGAAGAGGGAAACAACCCAGACCGCCAGCUAAGGUCCCAAAGUCAUGGUUAAGUGGGAAACGAUGUGGGAAGGCCCAGACAGCCAGGAUGUUGGCUUAGAAGCAGCCAUCAUUUAAAGAAAGCGUAAUAGCUCACUGGUCGAGUCGGCCUGCGCGGAAGAUGUAACGGGGCUAAACCAUGCACCGAAGCUGCGGCAGCGACACUGUGUGUUGUUGGGUAGGGGAGCGUUCUGUAAGCCUGUGAAGGUGUGUCGUGAGGCAUGCUGGAGGUAUCAGAAGUGCGAAUGCUGACAUAAGUAACGAUAAAGCGGGUGAAAAGCCCGCUCGCCGGAAGACCAAGGGUUCCUGUCCAACGUUAAUCGGGGCAGGGUGAGUCGACCCCUAAGGCGAGGCCGAAAGGCGUAGUCGAUGGGAAACGGGUUAAUAUUCCCGUACUUGGUGUUACUGCGAAGGGGGGACGGAGAAGGCUAUGUUGGCCGGGCGACGGUUGUCCCGGUUUAAGCGUGUAGGUGUGUGUUCCAGGUAAAUCCGGUUCACUUUAACACUGAGGCGUGACGACGAGGCACUACGGUGCUGAAGCAACAAAUGCCCUGCUUCCAGGAAAAGCCUCUAAGCAUCAGGUAACAUCAAAUCGUACCCCAAACCGACACAGGUGGUCAGGUAGAGAAUACCAAGGCGCUUGAGAGAACUCGGGUGAAGGAACUAGGCAAAAUGGUGCCGUAACUUCGGGAGAAGGCACGCUGACACGUAGGUGAAGUGAUUUACUCAUGGAGCUGAAGUCAGUCGAAGAUACCAGCUGGCUGCAACUGUUUAUUAAAAACACAGCACUGUGCAAACACGAAAGUGGACGUAUACGGUGUGACGCCUGCCCGGUGCCGGAAGGUUAAUUGAUGGGGUCAGCGCAAGCGAAGCUCCUGAUCGAAGCCCCGGUAAACGGCGGCCGUAACUAUAACGGUCCUAAGGUAGCGAAAUUCCUUGUCGGGUAAGUUCCGACCUGCACGAAUGGCGUAAUGAUGGCCAGGCUGUCUCCACCCGAGACUCAGUGAAAUUGAACUCGCUGUGAAGAUGCAGUGUACCCGCGGCAAGACGGAAAGACCCCGUGAACCUUUACUAUAGCUUGACACUGAACAUUGAGCCUUGAUGUGUAGGAUAGGUGGGAGGCUUUGAAGUGUGGACGCCAGUCUGCAUGGAGCCGACCUUGAAAUACCACCCUUUAAUGUUUGAUGUUCUAACGUGGACCCGUUACCCGGGUUGCGGACAGUGUCUGGUGGGUAGUUUGACUGGGGCGGUCUCCUCCUAAAGAGUAACGGAGGAGCACGAAGGUUGGCUAAUCCUGGUCGGACAUCAGGAGGUUAGUGCAAUGGCAUAAGCCAGCUUGACUGCGAGCGUGACGGCGCGAGCAGGUGCGAAAGCAGGUCAUAGUGAUCCGGUGGUUCUGAAUGGAAGGGCCAUCGCUCAACGGAUAAAAGGUACUCCGGGGAUAACAGGCUGAUACCGCCCAAGAGUUCAUAUCGACGGCGGUGUUUGGCACCUCGAUGUCGGCUCAUCACAUCCUGGGGCUGAAGUAGGUCCCAAGGGUAUGGCUGUUCGCCAUUUAAAGUGGUACGCGAGCUGGGUUUAGAACGUCGUGAGACAGUUCGGUCCCUAUCUGCCGUGGGCGCUGGAGAACUGAGGGGGGCUGCUCCUAGUACGAGAGGACCGGAGUGGACGCAUCACUGGUGUUCGGGUUGUCAUGCCAAUGGCACUGCCCGGUAGCUAAAUGCGGAAGAGAUAAGUGCUGAAAGCAUCUAAGCACGAAACUUGCCCCGA
rnacentral:rRNA from 1 species